AGGGAAGGGGCGGAAGUUACCGCGGUUUGGGGAGUCGGUGGGGUCCCGCCGCGACUGGGCUCGAGUUUACGACGGUUGUCUUUUCUCGGCUCGUCCGCUCUUCACGUUUAUUCAAAAAGUGUUGGCUAGCGCCACUGUGACCCCGACAAAUAUCCACGACUCCUGCCGUUAUGGAGUUUACCGAGGGGUGGAGGGAGGCAGACAUUAAUCAGGAGGGGAAGGGUCCCCGCAGGCCAGCAGCUCUUUGCUCCCCUCCCGCACCCUGAGGCAACCGGAGGCCUCUCCUUGAGCCCCAGCGUGGGGCCCGGAGCCUAGUGAGGCAGUUCCGAGAAGCACAGAUUGGGAAACGGAGGCUCCAGCAAAGACGGUCCGGCCUGAUCGCAUCGUGCUGCUCGCGAGGACUAGAUCCAAGGUGGACCGGAAGCUCACGUGCUCUUCUAAGACACUAGAUGAAAACAGUAAAGUUCUUUGAAAAAAAAAACUCCUUUGUUUCAAAAGGAAGAAUGUGGAGUCUAGCUCAGCAGGUCCUGCUCUGAAUGGGUGACAUCAUGGAGCAGAGCACCGGCUCUGGUAUGAACUCAGGAACUCACUCACGUUCUGUAAAGAAGCUUUGCCCAAGAGCAGUAUAGUCCUCAUGGCAGCGGCACAGACACAUAAGAAAUUUAACAGAAAGAUCAUCUUGCUGGUAGAUAAAAAAAACAGUAGAAGGAGCCCAGCAUAACCAGGACUGCCAAAAGUAAAGGGGAAGCCAAAAAGGAGAGAGUCAGAAAAGGCAGAAACUUUAAAUUCUGUGUACAGACUCGGCUCAAGUCUCUGGCAGAUCCCCUCGAACCAUGCAUGUGUUGGGCUACAUGAAAGAAGUUUGCAGCCAAGGCUUCAAGAACAGAACCGAGAUCUGAGCCAUCGCCCACUAGAGCACGGCAGGGUGGAGGCGGGGCUAACCAAAUCCACUGCCUAAAACAAAAACCUCAGCGCCGUUCGGAAUAAUAAAACAAUCCAAAGUCUCCACAAUAGAACCUUUCCAGUGUCCAGGUUAUAAUCCACAGUUACUGAAUUUGUGAAGAGUGAGGAAAAUAGGACCCAUUUCCAAGGAGAAAGUGAACCAACAGAUGCUAAUCCCAAGAGGACCUGGAUGUUGGACUUUUCACACAAGGACUUUCAAGCAGCUUUUCUAACUACGCUCAGUGAGGGGAACAAUAAUUUGAAUUAUCACAGAAGUCUCCUCAAAAAGCAUGGAAGUCAGAAGACACACUAUGAGAAAGAAACUUGUCCCUGAACACUCUGGGAUUCAGUCAUGAAUGUGAAAGGAAGAGCUCACUUUCAGAUCAAGAAAAACUAAGUUAAUUUGUCCCCAUGCUGCUAUACUAUACAGAAUGCUACAUAAAAGGUCUUCAGGCUGCAGAGCGUUGAUAUCAGAGAGAAACAGAUUUUCAGGAAUGAGUGAAGAACAUCAGCAAUAAAUACUGUGUGAGUAAAUAUGAAAGACUAUAUUUUCUCUUAAUUUCUCUAAAGUACAUGUGACUAUUAAAGCAAAAAGUAUAACAAUGUAUUGUGGGUUUAUAGUGCAUGCAAAUGUGAUACCUAUAAUAACUAUGACAGCGGGGGGGAAUGGACAUAUUUUGCAAGAUUUCUACAUUUUACACAAAGUAGUACAAUAUUACUUUUAAGUGGACUAUGAACAGUUAAUAAUAUGUCGUGAUACGCAGAGUGAUGGCUAAUAUAUUAGAGAAAAGACACAGCAAAAUGCCAAUAGAUAUAUUAAAAUGGGAUUCUAAAAAACAAAUAAUCCAAAAGAAAACAAGAAAAAGGGAACAAACUAAGCAAAACAAACCAGAGGGAGUAAACAGAAAACAAAUAACGACAGACCUGAAUCCAGUCAUACCGAUUAUUAAAUGUCAAUGGACUGUACACUCCAAUGAGAGAGACUAUCAGAAUAUAUUU